rnacentral:rRNA from 1 species
UCAGUCGUAAACUUUAAUUUACUUUCUUCUCGCCAGGGAACUACGAGCUAAGCUUAAAACCCAAAGGACUUGACGGUACCCCAUAUCCCCCUAGAGGAGCCUGUCCUAUAAUCGAUAACCCCCGUUUAACCUCACCAUUUUUAGUUAUUCAGCCUGUAUACCUCCGUCGUCAGCUUACCACGUGAGCGUUAGUGAGCUAAAUGUUUUUUCAACCACACGUCAGGUCAAGGUGCAACAAAUGAAAUGGGAAGAGAUGGGCUACACUUUCUAUAAUAGACUAAACGAAAGACUUUAUGAAAUCUAGUCAGAAGGCGGAUUUAGAAGUAAAACGGAACUAGAGAGUCCUUUUUAACCCGGCAC